rnacentral:rRNA from 1 species
GAGUUUGAUCAUGGCUCAGAACGAACGCUAGCGGCGUGCCUAACACAUGCAAGUCGAACGGUAACAGGCCUUCGGGUGCUGACGAGUGGCGAACGGGUGAGUAAUGCAUCGGAACGUGCCCAAUCGUGGGGGAUAACGUAGCGAAAGUUACGCUAAUACCGCAUACGCCCUGAGGGGGAAAGCAGGGGAUCGCAAGACCUUGCGCGAAUGGAGCGGCCGAUGUCAGAUUAGCUAGUUGGUGGGGUAAAGGCCCACCAAGGCGACGAUCUGUAGCGGGUCUGAGAGGAUGAUCCGCCACACUGGGACUGAGACACGGCCCAGACUCCUACGGGAGGCAGCAGUGGGGAAUUUUGGACAAUGGGCGCAAGCCUGAUCCAGCCAUGCCGCGUGCGGGACGAAGGCCUUCGGGUUGUAAACCGCUUUCAGCCGGAAAGAAAUCGCCAAGGUUAAUACCUUUGGUGGAUGACGGUACCGGAAGAAGAAGCACCGGCUAACUACGUGCCAGCAGCCGCGGUAAUACGUAGGGUGCGAGCGUUAAUCGGAAUUACUGGGCGUAAAGGGUGCGCAGGCGGUUUUGUAAGCCAGGCGUGAAAUCCCCGGGCUUAACCUGGGAACUGCGUUU